rnacentral:tRNA from 1 species
CACUUAGAAGCUCUUUAGAGCUUUGAAUUUUUAAUUCAAAGGAGAAUUAAAUUAAUUCCUUAGUGA